UACAGAGGUCCCGAGCGUUGUUCGGAUUCACUGGGCGUAAAGGGUGCGUAGGUGGUUGUGCAAGUCUGAUGUGAAAUCUCCGGGCCUAACCCGGAAAUGGCAUUGGAAACUGCAUGGCUAGAGUGUUGGAGGGGGGACUGGAAUUCUCGGUGUAGCAGUGAAAUGCGUAGAUAUCGAGAGGAACACCAGUGGCGAAGGCGAGUCCCUGGACAACGACUGACACUGAGGCACGAAAGCUAGGGGAGCAAACAGG
rnacentral:rRNA from 1 species